GAUGAAGAACGCAGCGAAAUGCGAUACGUAAUGUGAAUUGCAGAAUUCAGUGAAUCAUCGAAUCUUUGAACGCAUAUUGCGCUCUCUGGUAUUCCGGAGAGCAUGCUUGUUUGAGUAUCAGUAAACACCUCAACUCCCUUUUCUUUUUUGAAAUUGGAGCUGGACUUGAGUGAUCCCAACGCUUUCUUCCAAGAAAGUGGCGGGUUGCUUGAAAUGCAGGUGCAGCUGAACUUUUCUCUGAGCUAUAAGCAUAUCUAUUUAGUCUGCCUAAAAAACGGAUUAUUACCUUUGCUGCAGCUAACAUAAAGGAGACUAGUUCUUGUGCUGACUGAUGCAGGAUUCACAGAGACAGCUUCGGCUGACUUUGUAAACUCGAUCUCAAAUCAAGUAAGACUACCCGCUGAACUUAAGCAUAUCAAUAAGCGGAGGA
rnacentral:misc_RNA from 1 species